ACUCCUACGGGAGGCAGCAGUAGGGAAUCUUCCACAAUGGACGAAAGUCUGAUGGAGCAACGCCGCGUGAACGAUGAAGGCUUCGGUCGUAAAGUUCUGUUGUAAGGGAAGAACAAGUGCCGCAGGCAAUGGCGGCACCUUGACGGUACCUUGCGAGAAAGCCACGGCUAACUACGUGCCAGCAGCCGCGGUAAUACGUAGGUGGCAAGCGUUGUCCGGAAUUAUUGGGCGUAAAGCGCGCGCAGGCGGCCUCUUAAGUCUGAUGUGAAAGCCCCGGCUCAACCGGGGGAGGGCCAUUGGAAACUGGGAGGCUUGAGUAUAGGAGAGAAGAGUGGAAUUCCACGUGUAGCGGUGAAAUGCGUAGAGAUGUGGAGGAACACCAGUGGCGAAGGCGACUCUUUGGCCUAUAACUGACGCUGAGGCGCGAAAGCGUGGGGAGCAAACAGGAUUAGAUA
rnacentral:rRNA from 1 species